rnacentral:rRNA from 1 species
AACGAACGCUGGCGGCAUGCCUAACACAUGCAAGUCGAACGAGACCUUCGGGUCUAGUGGCGCACGGGUGCGUAACGCGUGGGAACCUGCCCUUAGGUUCGGAAUAACUCCCCGAAAGGGGUGCUAAUACCGGAUAAUGUCUUCGGACCAAAGAUUUAUCGCCUUUGGAUGGGCCCGCGUUGGAUUAGCUAGUUGGUAGGGUAAAAGCCUACCAAGGCGACGAUCCAUAGCUGGUCUGAGAGGUUGAUCAGCCACACUGGGACUGAGACACGGCCCAGACUCCUACGGGAGGCAGCAGUGGGGAAUAUUGGACAAUGGGCGAAAGCCUGAUCCAGCAAUGCCGCGUGAGUGAUGAAGGCCUUAGGGUUGUAAAGCUCUUUUACCCGGGAUGAUAAUGACAGUACCGGGAGAAUAAGCACCGGCUAACUCCGUG